rnacentral:lncRNA from 1 species
CACUGUUGGGUAGCAAUGAACCUGUGGUUUUAGGAGUCCUUCAUCAGGAGUGGGUCCUGCUGGUGCCAGAGCAGCCCCAGGAAGGAGUCACUGACCACCAGGAACAAGGAUGGGAUGUGGCUGCAUGUGUAAGGUAAGGGAAUAGUCCUGAUGGGACCUAUGGUAAGCUUUCCCUCCAAGACAAAUGGCAGCAUGAGAUCCCCUAUAAAGAGAUCAGGGAUGAAAAGGGAAGAUGCUUAAAAAUGGCAUCUUGUCCUAGAGAGGGAGCAGUGAAGGGGCAAUAGGAUGAGGAAGGUCACCUGCGUGGGAGAAGCAGCCCUAUUUGGCAGAUGGACCCCGCCUGGGGCCAUGGGCAUGAGCUUUUGGGAAUGGAGGUUGCCACGAGUGAUAAGAAUUCUAAACGAAGGGAGCAUAGUCACGAAGUCCGUGUAUCCUCCAAAUCUACAUUUCCUAUAGAAACCCCAGAUGUGAAAGGGUAAAACAGUAGAUGAAAAGGGAGAAGAGAAAGAAAGACGAUGAGAAAAAUGAAGACUAAUAUGGAUAACAGCAGAAGUCUUGCAGGGAUGUUCCAGAGCUGUGGCCCAGGGAUGCACUGCGGGGUACAAGAAGAUACUGAUUUGACCACCCAAAUGAACACCUUUAUCAACUCUAACAUUGUUCGGUGCACAACUUGUCAUCUGGUCAUCCAGAAAUUUCCUUCCUCCCUCCCUCCCUCCCUCCCUCCCUCCCUCCCUCCCUUCCUUCCUUUCCUUCCUUUCCUUCCUUCCUUUCCUUCCUUUUUCAGGAACUAGCAGUGAAAAUACUACAGCAGCCUAGAAAGUGGCAGAAACAUCAAAUACCUUGUGCAUCUAAAUCACCUGGCUUAAGAGAAAAUUAUAGAAAAGGCAAACUAUAAUAAGAUGCUUCUCUACUAGCAAAAAAAGAUCAUCUACUAAAGUGAGGGUCUGGACAGGGACCAAGCCAAUACCACAGGCAGGUAGCAAUAGAGGAAAAACCCGCUGUGAAAUAUUUCAUUUUUGUGAUUCUUUAACAAUUUACAGAAGAAAUGUCACAUAAUAGAAGUUUGGCUUUCUUUUGGGAG